rnacentral:rRNA from 1 species
UACAGAGGGUGCGAGCGUUGUCCGGAAUCACUGGGCGUAAAGGGCGCGUAGGUGGUGGCUUAAGCGUGCGGUGAAAGCUCGGAGCUCAACUCCGAGUCGGCCGUGCGAACUGGGCUCACUGGAGCAUAGUAGAGGCAGGUGGAAUUCCGGGUGUAGCGGUGGAAUGCGUAGAGAUCCGGAAGAGCACCGGUGGCGAAGGCGGCCUGCUGGGCUAUGGCUGACACUGAAGCGCGACAGCGUGGGGAGCAAACAGG